CCUUCGGGGUGACGAGUUAUUGACUGAGUGGCGGACGGGUGAGUAACGCGUGGGUAACCUACCUUGUACAGGGGGACAACAGUUGGAAACGACUGCUAAUACCGCAUAAGCGCACAGCAUCGCAUGAUGCAGUGUGAAAAGUUUUUUCGGUACAAGAUGGACCCGCGUCUGAUUAGCUAGUUGGUGAGGUAACGGCCCACCAAGGCGACGAUCAGUAGCCGACCUGAGAGGGUGACCGGCCACAUUGGGACUGAGACACGGCCCAAACUCCUACGGGAGGCAGCAGUGGGGAAUAUUGCACAAUGGGCGCAAGCCUGAUGCAGCGACGCCGCGUGAGCGAAGAAGUAUUUCGGUAUGUAAAGCUCUAUCAGCAGGGAAGAUAAUGACGGUACCUGACUAAGAAGCACCGGCUAAAUACGUGCCAGCAGCCGCGGUAAUACGUAUGGUGCAAGCGUUAUCCGGAUUUACUGGGUGUAAAGGGAGCGUAGGCGGUUUUACAAGUCUGAUGUGAAAGCCCCGGGGCUCAACUCCGGUAUUGCAUUGGAAACUGU
rnacentral:rRNA from 1 species